rnacentral:tRNA from 1 species
CAAAGAAUAGUUUAAGUUAGAACCC